CGAACGGGUGAGUAACACGUGGGCAACCCUGCCCAAAANAGGGGGAUAACACUUGGAAACAGGUGCUAAUACCGCAUAACCAUAGUUACCGCAUGGUAACUAUGUAAAAGGUGGCUAUGCUACCGCUUUUGGAUGGGCCCGCGGCGCAUUAGCUAGUUGGUGGGGUAAAGGCUUACCAAGGCAAUGAUGCGUAGCCGAACUGAGAGGUUGAUCGGCCACAUUGGGACUGAGACACGGCCCAAACUCCUACGGAAGGCAGCAG
rnacentral:rRNA from 1 species